AUUGAACGCUGGCGGCGUGCCUCAGACAUGCAAGUCGAACGAUUAAGACUUCCUUCGGGAAGUGUAUAAAGUGGCGCACGGGUGAGUAACACGUAGGUAAUGUGCCUUUGGGUGGGGAAUAACUUAGGGAAACUUAAGCUAAUACCGCAUAAUGCAGCGGAUCGACAUCGAGACAGUUGUUAAAGGAGUAAUCCGCCUAAAGAGCAGCCUGCGGCAGAUUAGCUAGUUGGUAAGGUAAUGGCUUACCAAGGCUACGAUCUGUAACCGACCUGAGAGGGUGGUCGGUCACACUGACACUGAAUAACGGGUCAGACUCCUACGGGAUGCAGCAGUCGGGAAUUUUGGGCAAUGGGCGAAAGCCUGACCCAGCAACGCCGCGUGAAGGAUGAAGUAUUUCGGUAUGUAAACUUCGUAAGAAUAGGAAGAAUAAAUGACGGUACUAUUUGUAAGGUCCGGCUAACUACGUGCCAGCCGCCGCCGUAAAAC
rnacentral:rRNA from 1 species